rnacentral:rRNA from 1 species
UGCGGCGUGCCUAAUACAUGCAAGUCGUACGCUAGCCGCUGAAUUGAUCCUUCGGGUGAAGUGAGGCAAUGACUAGAGUGGCGAACUGGUGAGUAACACGUAAGAAACCUGCCCUUUAGUGGGGGAUAACAUUUGGAAACAGAUGCUAAUACCGCGUAACAACAAAUCACACAUGUGAUCUGUUUGAAAGGUCCUUUUGGAUCGCUAGAGGAUGGUCUUGCGGCGUAUUAGCUUGUUGGUAGGGUAGAAGCCUACCAAGGCAAUGAUGCGUAGCCGAGUUGAGAGACUGGCCGGCCACAUUGGGACUGAGACACUGCCCAAACUCCUACGGGAGGCUGCAGUAGGGAAUUUUCCGCAAUGCACGAAAGUGUGACGGAGCGACGCCGCGUGUGUGAUGAAGGCUUUCGGGUCGUAAAGCACUGUUGUAAGGGAAGAAUAACUGAAUUCAGAGAAAGUUUUCAGCUUGACGGUACCUUACCAGAAAGGGAUGGCUAAAUACGUGCCAGCAGCCGCGGUAAUACGUAUGUCCCGAGCGUUAUCCGGAUUUAUUGGGCGUAAAGCGAGCGCAGACGGUUUAUUAAGUCUGAUGUGAAAUCCCGAGGCCCAACCUCGGAACUGCA